UAGUAUAGCAAAUAGUAUGAUACUUUGC
rnacentral:sRNA from 1 species